rnacentral:rRNA from 1 species
AUUGAACGCUGGCGGCAUGCCUUACACAUGCAAGUCGAACGGUAACAGGUCUUCGGAUGCUGACGAGUGGCGAACGGGUGAGUAAUGCAUCGGAACGUGCCCAGUAGUGGGGGAUAGCCCGGCGAAAGCCGGAUUAAUACCGCAUACGACCUGAGGGUGAAAGGGGGGGAUCGCAAGACCUCUCGCUAUUGGAGCGGCCGAUGUCAGAUUAGCUAGUUGGUGGGGUAAAGGCCUACAAAGGCAACGAUCUGUAGUUGGUCUGAGAGGACGACCAGCCACACUGGGACUGAGACACGGCCCAGACUCCUACGGGAGGCAGCAGUGGGGAAUUUUGGACAAUGGGCGCAAGCCUGAUCCAGCAAUGCCGCGUGCAGGAAGAAGGCCUUCGGGUUGUGAACUGCUUUAGUCAGGGAAGAAAUCUUCUGGGUUAAUACCUCGGGAGGAUGACGGUGCCUGAAGAAUAAGCACCGGCUAACUACGUGCCAGCCGCCGCGGUAA